GCCUAUAACCUAGCCCAAUAAAAUCAAUAAUACCCCCUCCCCUUUUUCUUAUAAUUAUUAAAACAUUCUUACAUUUUAGUAAAGGAGAUUAAAAUUUUAUUAAGCGCUAUAUAUUAGUACCGCAAGGGAAAGAUGAAAUAAAAAUGAAACGCCCUUAAGCACAAAAAAGUAAAGAUCACCUCUUGUACCUUUUGCAUUAUGGUUUAACUAGUCUAAUCAAGCAGAAAGACCUAAAGUUUGACCCCCCGAAACUGAGCGAGCUACUCCAAGGCAGCCUUUAGAGCCAACCCGUCUCUGUAGCAAAAGAGUGGGAAGACCUUUGAGUAGGGGUGACAGACCUAACGAGCUCAGUGAUAGCUGGUUGUUUGAGAAAAGGAUUUAAGUCCAGCCUAAAAUUACUUUUAUAUACCCAAAUAAUCUUACAGUUUUAGAGUAAUUCAAGCAGGGUGCAGCCUACUUGAAACAGGACACAACCUAGGUUUGAGGGUAAUCUUUAUCUCUCCCCGGCGAUUAAGUAGGCCUAAAAGCAGCCACCUUUUAAAAAGCGUCAUAGCUUUAUCACCCAAAACAUGAUUUUAAACAGUAAUACGAACCCCCGCCACUGUAUCAAACAAUUCUAUAUAAUUAUAGAAGCUUUUAUGUUAAAACUAGUAACAAGAAUAAUAAUUCUCUACAAUGCAAACGUAAAUCAGGCAGGAUACACCGCUGAUAAUUAACACUCAUGAGUCAACAGAAGCAACUUAACAAGAAAACCCUUCUCUUUCCCAUGUUAACCUUACACAAGAGCAUUUUUAGAAAGAUUUAAAGAAAAAGAAGGAACUCGGCAAAAUUUGACCCCGCCUGUUUACCAAAAACACCGCCUCUUGAUAGAUCCAUGAGAGGUCCAGCCUGCCCAGUGACUUUGUUCAACGGCCGCGGUAUCCUAACCGUGCGAAGGUAGCGUAAUCAUUUGUUCUUUAAUUGAGGACUAGUAUGAACGGCACCACGAAGGUUAUACUGUCUCCUCUCUCUAAUCAGUGAAACUACUCUCCCCGUGAAGAAGCGGGGAUGAACUUAUAAGACGAGAAGACCCUAUGGAGCUUUAAACAUAACAACAACUGCCCCGCCCCCAGUUUUAUGUUCCCGAAAAAUUAUUUACCUAAGCAUUUUGAUUGUACGUUUUAGGUUGGGGUGACCGCGGAGCAAAAAACAACCUCCACACUGGAAGGGACCUUUCCCUAAGCCCAGGGCCACAGCCCCCAGAAUCAAUAAAUUGACACCUGUUGACCCAAUAUUUUGACCAAUGAACCAAGUUACCCUAGGGAUAACAGCGCAAUCCACUUUAAGAGCUCCUAUCGACAAGUGGGUUUACGACCUCGAUGUUGGAUCAGGGUUCCCUAGUGGUGCAGCCGCUGCUAACGGUUCGUUUGUUCAACGAUUAAAAUCC
rnacentral:rRNA from 1 species